GGACAGAUCUAAGGCAUGCAUCACCAGUUCGAUGGAGUUUGGUUCUAUUAAGCAUCAUAGACAUUUUUGCUCCUAGAUUGCAUCAACAGGUAAUGGAGCACCUGGAUGGAAACAACCACAGUCAGCUUUACAAUGUCAAGAAGGGUAAGAUUAUGUAAAAAUAAAAUCUGCUAAAUUUUGGUCAUAUUAUUUUCAGCCUCCUUUCCAAAGUUUAUGAGAUCAAAAUUUUUUGGUUUAUACAAUGACUCAGAUCAAUGCUUUUGUAAUUGUUUUUAUGAGAUGAGGUGCAUAUAUAGGAAAAGAAUAUGCUUUGAGAGGCAAUGUUUUAAUUGUCUGUGAUAAAGUGGUUAUGUGUGUCGGUAGGAUGUGAGAAUGAAUUAAUCCUCAUGAAAAUCAGUUCUAAGACUUUAGAUCCGAAAUGAUGCAAUAGAAUGUUACUGUUUAUAUAUGGCUAAACUGAACAUUAUGCAUGAACUCAAAGUAGCCUCGAUAUCAGCACAUGAAAGAUUGUCGCACUAUCAUAUAGAUUUUAUUGUAAAGGUAUUCUGAGAAGAAUUUGUAUAGACUUGAACAGGAAUUUGGUAAAUUUAAAUUUUGGUCUCUUAUGAUAUGUUUGAUAGAUUUGCUUAUAUUUACCAUGUGCUUUGCUUGCUCAUAUCAACUCAACCAAUCAACUGGAUUUUAGGACCUGAAUGAGUGGCCUGUGCUUAAACCCCUUCCAUCUUAUGGUACAAGAAUAGAUGUAGCAGCUUGAAGGUACUCCACUUUCAUAUUUGGAACAAAUCUCACUGAUCUCAUUGUUACAAGUACCUAGCUACUUAGUUUGAAUUCUGCAACAAGUUCCAAGUUAUCAUAAGAAGAGGCAGAGAAUAGAAAGUGGGAAGAAAAUCUAUCCUUCUGACAAUAAGUCAUGAUUGCCUCCAGUGCUAUGGUCCUUAAUUAAUUAUUGAAAGCAUUGCACAAACAAAUCGCAGUGUCUACAGCUGAGAUACAGAAUGGUACUGACGUAGAGGUUUAUGGAUCACCAACUGAAAGAGGAAUUCUACACUUGAGGAAUUAAGAUUCUAUUCAAUCUCGAGGAUCAGAGCUCUUUCCAAUGUUCAAUCUAUCCAGAAAAGUAUUCUGCAGAGUCUCAAGCAACAGCAUUUGACACAGUUUCAGAUAACUACAACUUCAAUACACUUCAUGCAAGUGGCUUUCUAUGGACUAUCAGUGUGAGUAUAAUAUAUCCUAUACAUAUUUUUCUCUUAAUUACAUACAUUCAACAAAUUUUUUCAAAUAUCAGUAACUAGAAUUUGAUGAUCAACUAUUUCACCUUGCAAGACCUCAACAACAUUCUUAUUCACAUUAUCUUCUCAUUAGGUUUGAUUUCAAGUUAAUGAUUCUGGUGGAGAAAUUUGUGUAACGUGUUUUAAUCAUGCAGCCAAAAAAUUCAUGUAUCUGACAAAAACAAUAUAAAUAUUCUGAUAUGUAAUGUUAUAAGAUCACCUUACCUAAAUUGUAAAGUUCGACAAAAACAAUCAAUGAUCAAAUCAAUCCCGCAGCAAAGCGCGGACAACAUUUCUAGUAUAUUCGAUGAACCAGUUCUAGAAUUAGAAGGGAUAAGGAAAUCUAACAAGGUGCAGUGCCAUUAUCCAUUGAGCUUCUCCUAGAUGCAACGUUAGUCUCUCAGUUGUUUGAUGGGACAAAAUAUAUGAGAGGAUU